rnacentral:rRNA from 1 species
CUUUGCACUGGACUUUGAGCUUGCUUGUGUAGGAUAGGUGGGAGGCUUUGAAGCGUGGACGCCAGUCUGCGUGGAGCCAUCCUUGAAAUACCACCCUGGCAACCUUGAGGUUCUAACUCUGGUCCGUUAUCCGGAUCGAGGACAGUGUAUGGUGGGCAGUUUGACUGGGGCGGUCUCCUCCUAAAGAGUAACGGAGGAGUACGAAGGUGCGCUCAGACCGGUCGGAAAUCGGUCGUAGAGUAUAAAGGCAAAAGC